rnacentral:rRNA from 1 species
AUGUCUAAGUAUAAACACGAUUGUACUGUCAAACUGCAGAUGGCUCAUUACAACAGUUAUAGUUUAUUUGACAAUUGAUAAUUACACGGAUACCCGUAGUAACUUUACGGCUAAUACGUGACCAAUCUUUCUCGAAAGAGAAAGUGUGCAUAUUAGCUGAAAACCAACGAUGGUUGAAUCAUAAUAUUCUGUCGGAUCGCGUUGGCACUGCCAGCGACGUGUCAUUCAAGUUUCUGCCCUAUCAGCUACGACGGUAUGGUAUUGGCUUACCGUGGCAUUGACGGGUACGGGGAAUCGGGGUUCGAUUCCGGAGAGGCAGCCUGAGGAACGGCUACCACAUUCAAGGAAGGCAGCAGGUGCGCAAAUUACCCAAUCCUGACUCAGGGAGGUAGUGACCAGAAAUAACGAUAAGCAGCCCUCAGGGUUGCAAUUCGGAAUGAGUACAACGCAAAACUCUUAACGACCACCAAGUGGAGGGCAAGCCUGGUGCCAGCAGCCGCGGUAAUACCAGCUCCAAUAGCGUAUAUUAAAGUUGUUGCUGUUAAAACGCUCGUAGUUGGAUAUCAAGCCUGGACGGGCAUGCCGCGGCUAGUCGCGCUUGCGUCGGAGAGAUCGAACGCGGUGUUACCAACACCUUCUUGGCUGUUUUCGGGGGUGCCUGUCUGGACAUUAACUUGUUUGGGCAGGUGCGUCCCGAUCGUUUACUUUGAGAAAAUUAGAGUGCUCAAAGCAGGCUUCGCCUGAAUGCAUUAGCAUGGAAUAAUAAAACACGACUUUGGACUCUGUCUUCGGACGGAAAAAUUUUGUUGGUUUUGGGCCAAAGUAAUGAUUGAUAGGAACAAACGGGGGUGCUAGUAUCGCCGGGCCAGAGGUAAAAUUCUUUAAUCCCGGUGAGACUGUCGUAUGCGAAAGCAUUCACCAAGCGUGUUUUCUUUAAUCAAGAACUAAAGCUGGGGGAUCAAAGACGAUCAGAUACCGUCGUAGUCCCAGCCAUAAACGAUGUCGACUAAGUUUUGGGCAUGAUUGAACUUCCUCAGCACUUUAUGAGAAAUCAAAGUUUUCGGACUCAGGGGGGAGUAUGUUCGCAAGUAUGAAAUUUAAAGGAAUUGACGGAAGGGCACCACCAGUGGUGGAGCCUGCGGCUUAAUUUGACUCAACACGGGAAAACUUACCAGGCCCGGACAUAGUGAGGAUGGACAGAUUGAAGUUCUUUCUUGAUUCUAUGAAUAGUGGUGCAUGGCCGUUCUUAGUUGG